GCGCCGGUGGUGUAAAGGCGUAGAGCAUUCCCGCAUGGUCAGAGGGAGGUGCGGGUUCGAGUCCCGCCUGGCGCU
rfam:Heligmosomoides polygyrus genome assembly, scaffold: HPBE_scaffold0000024